rnacentral:rRNA from 1 species
AUUGAACGCUGGCGGCAUGCUUUACACAUGCAAGUCGAACGGUAACAGGCCGCAAGGUGCUGACGAGUGGCGAACGGGUGAGUAAUGCAUCGGAACGUGCCCAGUCGUGGGGGAUAACGCAGCGAAAGCUGUGCUAAUACCGCAUACGAUCUAUGGAUGAAAGCGGGGGACCGUAAGGCCUCGCGCGAUUGGAGCGGCCGAUGUCAGAUUAGCUAGUUGGUGGGGUAAAGGCCCACCAAGGCGACGAUCUGUAGCUGGUCUGAGAGGACGACCAGCCACACUGGGACUGAGACACGGCCCAGACUCCUACGGGAGGCAGCAGUGGGGAAUUUUGGACAAUGGGCGCAAGCCUGAUCCAGCAAUGCCGCGCGCAGGAAGAAGGCCUUCGGGUUGUAAACUGCUUUUGUACGGAACGAAACGGUCUUGGUUAAUACCCUGGGCUAAUGACGGUACCGUAAGAAUAAGCACCGGCUAACUACGUGCCAGCCGCCGCAGUAA